ensembl:lncRNA
GUUCUUUGCAGUUCAGGGACUCUUCUGUCAAUUCCUGGACCUAGACACAGUUCAUCAAGAAGCCUGAAUUUGUUUGUAGUUUGUGUUAAGGAUGCAGCUUUGAAAAAAAGGAGCUUAAGAUGGUUCAAGUUGCUACACUCUCUGCUAUCUCUGUUCCAACCGCAGGAUUCAUCUCAAAGCCAGCCCAAUUGGUUUCCUCCCAAAGAAAGAACUCUCCAUCCUGGGCUACUGCAAAGCCAGUAUCACUGACUCAAUACCAAGGAGGUGGAGAAGGAUGGUGGGGACUCCUGAAAAGUGACACUCACGAUGACUCAUUUUCAUGUAAAAUGUGGAAGUCUACGGUGCCGGUGCCGAUGCCCACAAUCCCCGUGUCUUGCAUGCUGGAAGAUUGUCAUCAGCAGAAUCCUGAAUCAAAGUUCAACGAAUCCUUCUGAAAUUUGUGUUUCGAAAUUCUGAAGAGGACCAUAAAUCUACCUCAAAAAUUUCCCUUUUGACAACUUUUCCAUUUUCCAUGCCUUGAAUAAUUUCUACUACUUCAAUAGUAGCAGAAACAUCUAAUUUUGCCGUAUCUUUUUUCUGCUUUAAUGGGAUAUCCUCCGUGUUCUGUUUUUCUCUGUUGUUUCUUUUAGGCAGACUUCGCAUUUUAAUCUUUUCAAGUUGUCCCUUCUCUUCUAAGUGUAUGUUUUUUCCCCCUCUUUGCUUUUUGGUCAAGAUAAUACUUUUUAAGUUAUUGCUAAUAUUAAAUAUUCAACUAACCCAGGAUUAGAUUCUGUUAAUGUCCUGCCUGGUUUCCCUUUAGUAUAUUUCACAUUCCCUAUGCCUUUCCUUAGAGUCCUAACUACAUACGUUCCCCUGGUGUGCUAUCAAAGGAUGUACGUCAUAUUGAAACGAAUCUAAAACUCAUAAGGUAAGUCACAAUAAUCUUCUUAGUCCCCUUUCAAAUCUAUCCCAUUUUUUUCUUAUCAUGUUAAUAUGUACCAUUCCUUGAUGAAUGAUUAGCCUAGUGCUAUAUUUAUUGACUUCAUGCCUAAAGUUUAACAGGGAAAAAUCUCAGUCCUCCUUUGAACCAGGCUUUCUUGGGAGAAUCACUUCAGUUUACUUCAUGAGGUCACGCCUUUUCUAUUAGGUUUCUCUGACCCAAUUCAGCCCAGUAAUAACUCACAUAUUGCUGUCUUUAUAAUAUCAUUUUAAAAGGAGUAAGUUCUGAGUAUGUCUGUUAGAAUAUGAAUUCUAUGAAGAGCAGGGAUUUUUCUUUUUUUUUUUUUUUACUAAAAAGUAUUGCAAGUCCCUAAAGAACUAUUUUUCCAAUGAAUAAAUAAGUCUUUAUUUUUAGUCUGUCA